UGGGGAAUUUUGGACAAUGGGCGCAAGCCUGAUCCAGCAAUGCCGCGUGUGUGAAGAAGGCCUUCGGGUUGUAAAGCACUUUUGUCCGGAAAGAAAUCCGUCUGGCUAAUACCCGGACGGGAUGACGGUACCGGAAGAAUAAGCACCGGCUGACUACGUGCCAGCAGCCGCGGUAAUAAGUAGGGUGCGAGCGUUAAUCGGAAUUACUGGGCGUAAAGGGCGCGUAGGCGGCGCGGUAAGUCACUUGUGAAAUCUCUGAGCUUAACUCAGAACGGCCAAGUGAUACUGCUGUGCUAGAGUGCGGAAGAGGCAACCGGAAUUCUUGGUGUAGCGGUGAAAUGCGUAGAUAUCAAGAGGAACACCUGAGGCGAAGGCGGGUUGCUGGGCCGACACUGACGCUGAUGCGCGAAAGCCAGGGGAGCAAACG
rnacentral:rRNA from 1 species